GAGGAUAUAGUUCAGUUGGUAAAGUGCUUGCCUUGCAAGCACAAGGCCCUGGGUUCAAUCCCCAGCACCUCA
rnacentral:tRNA from 1 species